rnacentral:rRNA from 1 species
ACUCAAAGGAGACUGCCAGUGAUAAACUGGAGGAAGGUGGGGGAUGACGUCAAGUCAUCAUGGCCCUUACGACCAGGGCUACACACGUGCUACAAUGGCAUAUACAAAGAGAAGCGACCUCGCGAGAGCAAGCGGACCUCAUAAAGUAUGUCGUAGUCCGGAUUGGAGUCUGCAACUCGACUCCAUGAAGUCGGAAUCGCUAGUAAUCGUAGAUCAGAAUGCUACGGUGAAUACGUUCCCGGGCCUUGUACACACCGCCCGUCACACCAUGGGAGUGGGUUGCAAAAGAAGUAGGUAGCUUAACCUUCGGGAGGGCGCUUACCACUUUGUGAUUCAUGACUGGGGUGAAGUCGUAACAAGGUAACCGUAGGGGAACCUGCGGUUGGAUCACCUCCUUACCUUAAAGAA